GGGGGGGGGGGGGGGGGGGGGGGGGGGGGGGGGGGCGGGGGGGGGGGGGGGGGUGGGGGGGGGGGUGGGCGGCGGAGGGGGGAGUGAUGCGUAGGAAUCGGCCGGGGGGUGGGGGGUACCGGCCGGGAGCGGGCGCUGAUACCGCAGACGGCCUGAGGGAGACAGUGGGGGAUCUUCGGACCUCACGCUAUCAGAUGAGCCUAGGUCGGAUGAGCUAGUUGGUGGGGUAAAGGCCUACUAAGGCGACGAUCCGUAACUGGUCUGAGAGGAUGAUCAGUCACACUGGAACUGAGACACGGUCCAGACUCCUACGGGAGGCAGCAGUGGGGAAUAUUGGACAAUGGGCGAAAGCCUGAUCCAGCCAUGCCGCGUGUGUGAAGAAGGUCUUCGGAUUGUAAAGCACUUUAAGUUGGGAGGAAGGGCAGUAAGUUAAUACCUUGCUGUUUUGACGUUACCAACAGAAUAAGCACCGGCUAACUUCGUG
rnacentral:rRNA from 1 species